UCGCAGCGCGGCGACGUUCUCGUGGGUU
rnacentral:sRNA from 1 species